rnacentral:sRNA from 1 species
CCUUCUUCUUCCACCACCGACCUGUGCCCGACCGUCCUCUGUUCGCAUCGCGAAUUCAGAGUUGAUGGUCGCGGCAGCUCGAUUUCUUAUGGGAUCAUCCUUUUUUACCAUGAUGUCAGUCCAAAUCACAGGUCGCAGAGGAACCAAUUCAGUGAGCCUGAGCUCGCCGUAAGGCUGAGCUCGGUUCUCUGGAUUUGAAGACCGUAUAUUCCAAAGCCACAGCCGAGAUCUUUGAUUUAUGAGGUGGGGGAAAACCAUACGAUGUCUACAUAU